AUACGUAGGGUGCGAGCGUUGUCCGGAAUUACUGGGCGUAAAGAGCUCGUAGGUGGUUUGUCGCGUCGUCUGUGACAUUCCGGGGCUUAACUCCGGGCGUGCAGGCGAUACGGGCAUAACUUGAGUACUGUAGGGGGGACUGGAAUUCCUGGUGUAGCGGUGAAAUGCGCAGAUAUCAGGAGGAACACCGGUGGCGAAGGCGGGUCUCUGGGCAGUAACUGACGCUGAGGAGCGAAAGCAUGGGUAGCGAACAGGAUUAGAUACCCUGGUAGUCCAUGCCGUAAACGGUGGGCGCUAGGUGUAGGGGUCUUCCACGACUUCUGUGCCGUAGCUAACGUAUUAAGCGCCCCGCCUGGGGAGUACGGCCGCAAGGCUAAAACUCAAAGGAAUUGACGGGG
rnacentral:rRNA from 1 species